UCCCAGGUGGCUCAGAUGGUAAAGAAUCUGCCUGCAAUGCAGGAGACUUGGGUUCGAUCCCUGGGUUGGGAA
rnacentral:tRNA from 1 species